rnacentral:rRNA from 1 species
CUAAAAUGCACAGGUCGUGAGUUCGAUGAGUAGGGCGGGACACGUGACAUCCUGUCUGAAUAUGGGGGGACCAUCCUCCAAGGCUAAAUACUCCUGACUGACCGAUAGUGAACCAGUACCGUGAGGGAAAGGCGAAAAGAACCCCGGCGAGGGGAGUGAAAUAGAACCUGAAACCGUGUACGUACAAGCAGUGGGAGCACCUUCGUGGUGUGACUGCGUACCUUUUGUAUAAUGGGUCAGCGACUUAUAUUUUGUAGCAAGGUUAACCGUAUAGGGGAGCCGUAGGGAAACCGAGUCUUAACUGGGCGAAUAGUUGCAAGGUAUAGACCCGAAACCCGGUGAUCUAGCCAUGGGCAGGUUGAAGGUUGGGUAACACUAACUGGAGGACCGAACCGACUAAUGUUGAAAAAUUAGCGGAUGACUUGUGGCUGGGGGUGAAAGGCCAAUCAAACCGGGAGAUAGCUGGUUCUCCCCGAAAGCUAUUUAGGUAGCGCCUCGUGAACUCAUCUUCGGGGGUAGAGCACUGUUUCGGCUAGGGGGCCAUCCCGGCUUACCAAACCGAUGCAAACUCCGAAUACCGAAGAAUGUUAUCACGGGAGACACACGGCGGGUGCUAACGUCCGUCGUGAAGAGGGAAACAACCCAGACCGCCAGCUAAGGUCCCAAAGUCAUGGUUAAGUGGGAAACGAUGUGGGAAGGCAUAGACAGCCAGGAUGUUGGCUUAGAAGCAGCCAUCAUUUAAAGAAAGCGUAAUAGCUCACUGGUCGAGUCGGCCUGCGCGGAAGAUGUAACGGGGCUAAACCAUGC